rnacentral:lncRNA from 1 species
AAUCAGUAUGUCUCUGUAAUGACUUGAAGACAAAUGUUCGUAGUUAUUACAUAUGUAAUGGCUGAAACCUAGAAACAAUCUAAAUUACUAUCAACAAUUAUGAUGGACCCAUGUGAUGAAAUAGCACUCAACAAUGAAAAGGAGUGUGUGUGUGUGUGUGUGUGUGUGUGUGUGUGUGUGUGUGUGUGUGUGUGUGUUUGUGUGUGUGUACGUGCGCAUGAGUAUCUGUGACAAUAUGGAUCCAACUAGAUAAAAAUUAAUAUACACUAUAUCAUUGUAUUUAUACAAAACUUUCAUAGAAAUACAAACUAAUUCAAGUGAUAGAAAACAAAAUAGUUGCUGUCAGUACUAGUGGAGGAAGGGAAUAUAGUAGGGCCAUUUGAAUAGGGAACACAUGUAAUAUUUGCGGAUGGUGACCAUGUUCACUAUCCUAAUUGGGCUGGUAGGUUUGGGGUGUGAUACAUGUUAAAAAUUCUCAAACUAUACACUUUAAACAUGUACAAUGUUUUUAUUAUUUGGCUUUGGUCCUGGGGACUGAACCCAAGGCCUCACAUCACUAGGUUAGUGUUCUGUCAGUGAGCUAUUUCCAUCUCCCUCUUUUGGUUUGAAUUUUAAUUUUGAGACAAGGUCUAACUAAUUUGUGUAGAUUGAGCUUGAACUCAACAUGUAGUUCAGGUGGUCUUGAACUUGUUACCCUCAUGUCUUAACCUCCUGAAUGCAGUCAGGCUUAUCUUCCCAGUGAGGGAGGUGUACUGGAUGUCCUUUGGCUCUGGAAUUUCAUUAGCUUCUAGGCUUCUGUUAGAUUGGCUGCUUUCAGUGUCUUUGGUGCCAGAUUCUUGGGCAUACAUUUGGUGUCACAAAAAACACUCUAGGGAGUUGUGUUUUGCUACUAGCAGGAAGUAUUGUUUGUACUUCACACAAGACUACAUUCUACUUCAGAGGAAAUGGGAUCAAAUUACAUUUUGCCAAUUACAUAGGGGAUUGUUUCUGGAAGUCUGGGAUAACAACAUUAUAUUUCUGAUUGACUCUAGAAUGUUUUAAAAGGUCAUUACAGCUGGCUGUUACUUGGUAGCCUACCCUUUACUCCAGUUUUGGGAUAGUCAAGUACUAACAAUGUGACCAGACUUGCAUUCAGAGAACUAGAGUAUAAUGAAACGGUAAUUUAUAGGGUUUCUGCAUUGAAAUUAUACCUUGCACUAAGUGUGUGUGUCUGGCCUCUCUACAUUUUUGAUAUCUUUCAUUUUCUCACAACACAACAAUGAAUGAAUGUGGAAUGAAGAAGAGCAUGGUGCUCUCCAUAUGACAUCAAAGGUGCCAUUGUCAAGCUCAGUAGCCCCCCUCCACUCUUGCGAGUCUUCUUUAACCCACCCUGAAGGGCAAUAGUGUCUCAUUAAUGAUUUGUUGACUUGUAACUAAGUUAGUUUUAUUUUUGUGUGAGAUUCAAGUAGACUGACAUCUAGGUCAGCUUUAACGACUGCUAUAUAUAUUUUUCUUUACCCAUUAAGAAUAUGCUUAACAACCACAAAUAAUAGCAUUGAGUUUAUCUUCCAUCCCCACCCCCUUCUUUGGGUGUUUGUCAGGCAAACUAAUAGCUCAUGUCUGCAUUCCAUUGUGAUUUAUAGUAGCAGCAUAGCUUCUGAUUUGGGAAAGGCAGAUGCUGAUUUAUGACAUGGAUAAAAAUGGUCAAAACCCAGUUAUAACAAAUGAAUCAUGGUGAGCCUGACUAGGAAUUCAGAUGUGUUUAAUUAGAUGUUGAAUACUGAGAAAUUAAUGAUAACUGAUAGGCAACAGAGGAAGGAGGAGGCUGGUGCCUCAGUUUACUCUUGGCUCUAAUGAAUACUACAUGAAACAUUAACCUCUUUUUAUAUCUCCGCCUUUUAGUCAAGACAACACAACUGUGAAGGCUGACAGCUGAAUAGAGAACUACCAGCUGAGGAAGCCACAAAGCUUAUCUGGGAAGAGCUUCCGGGUGAAUGUUCCAAAGAUCAGACUGUGUCCAUUAAUACUGAACUAAGGAAGACUUGAGAACUUUCUGUUUAAGUGAAGAACUGAGUGAGUGGGCUUCAUAGGAGCUAAGCUCCAGCCAGCAUUUAUGAUUGGGAGACUGCCUUUAUGAUUUAAACUCUGGGCUCAGAAUAUAUGUGCAUAGUCAACACAGAAUUUGACCUAAGUGAACAUAGUCUUAAAGUUGCUUAAUUUUUAUUCUUUGUGUGUGUGUG